rnacentral:ncRNA from 1 species
AACGCAGUGACAGGUGCUGCAUGGCUGUCGUCAGCUCGUGUCGUGAGAUGUUGGGUUAAGUCCCGCAACGAGCGCAACCCUUAUCUUUAGUUGCUACCAUUUAGUUGAGAACUCUAAAGAGACUGCCGGUGAUAAACCGGAGGAAGGCGGGGACGACGUCAAGUCAUCAUGGCCCUUAUGGGAUGGGCUACACACGUGCUACAAUGGGGGGUACAAAGAGCAGCUAGCUGGCGACAGUGCGCGAAUCUCAUAAAACCCUUCGUAGUCCGGAUUGGAGUCUGCAACUCGACUCCAUGAAGUCGGAAUCGCUAGUAAUCGUGAAUCAGAAUGUCACGGUGAAUACGUUCCCGGGCCUUGUACACACCGCCCGUCACACCAUGGGAGUGGGUUGCAAAAGAAGUAGGUAGUCUAACCUUCGGGAGGGCGCUUACCACUUUGUGAUUCAUGACUGGGGUGAAGUCGUAACAAGGUAGCCGUAGGGGAACCUGCGGCUGGAUCACCUCCUUU